UCAGUCGACUCCUACGGGAGGCAGCAGUGGGGAAUCUUGGACAAUGGGCGCAAGCCUGAUCCAGCCAUGCCGCGUGAGUGAUGAAGGCCCUAGGGUCGUAAAGCUCUUUCGCCAGGGAUGAUAAUGACAGUACCUGGUAAAGAAACCCCGGCUAACUCCGUGCCAGCAGCCGCGGUAAUACGGAGGGGUUAGCGUUGUUCGGAAUUACUGGGCGUAAAGCGCGCGUAGGCGGAUUAGUCAGUUAGAGGUGAAAUCCCAGGGCUCAACCCUGGAACUGCCUUUAAUACUGCUAGUCUUGAGUUCGAGAGAGGUGAGUGGAAUUCCGAGUGUAGAGGUGAAAUUCGUAGAUAUUCGGAGGAACACCAGUGGCGAAGGCGGCUCACUGGCUCGAUACUGACGCUGAGGUGCGAAAGUGUGGGGAGCAAACAGGAUUAGAUACCCUGGUAG
rnacentral:rRNA from 1 species